AGGGGCGGGGCGGCCGCGCGGUGUGAGUCGUAGAAUCACAAAAUCCUUACGGUUGGGGAAGACCUCCCAGAUCUAGUUCAACCAAUGACCAAUCCCCGCAGUGCCUGCUAACCAUGUCCCUAAAUACAACAUCUGCACGUUCCUUGAACACCUCCGGGGACAGUGACUCCACCACCUCCCUGGGCAGCCCGUUCCAAUACAUCAUCACUCUUUCUGAGAAGAACUGUUUCCUAACAUCCAACCUGAACCUCCCCUGGCACAACUUAAGGCCGUUACCUCUCAUCCUGUCACCAUUACCCGGGAGAAGAGGCCGAUCCCUGCCUCACCACAACCUCCUUUCAAGUCGCUGUGAACAGCGAUGAGGUCUCCCCUUAUUUUUGUAUGGCUUAGAAGCUACUACUGUUAUUUUUUUAUUCCUUUUAAUUCUUCCACAGCUUAUUGAAGCAGGUGAGUGCACUCCUAUUACUAAAAAAAUAAUUCCUAGAAAAACCAUUAUCACAUCCAGAUGAGUGACACUUGAUAUGGUAAACAGCCACCCCAGGGAGAGCAUGAUUAGUGAAGAGUAUGUGGGAUGGAACUUCGGAGCACACUGAAGACCAAACUGGAGAACAGCUGGAGAGAUGCACAAGGCCCUUUUUCACUUCCGUUUCAUUUUUGGAAGAUGUACAUGAAGACAUACGGCAUUCAAAUGAACACGGUCCCACUCCUCCAAGGACUGUGGGAAAGGUCUGCAGAGCUGAUCUUCAAACAGCAGCUCCUGCUGCUAGUGGGACGGCCUCGAGCAGUUCCCACGUGCGUGUUGCUGGAGUG
rnacentral:lncRNA from 1 species